GUGAGUUUGGUUAAUCCGUGGUUGAUUUGAAAUCUGCUUUUUUUAUGUUUGUUUCAUAAAGCUCAUU
rnacentral:tRNA from 1 species